UUCCAGUUCAAAGGGGCAGAAAAAUAACUAGGGCCCCGUUGGGGCACUGGCGGGCCCGAGCCGCGGUGCGCCGCCCCCAACACGACCGCCUCUCCCUACCGAUCGCGUCACACUCAAGGUCCAAAGAUGGUGUGCGCACUUGUCUGUGGUCAUUUACAAUUAUAAUGAAUGGGAGGCGCAGUUUCUACCAAAACGCUCGCCGCAGACAAACUACAUGUCCUAUUUGAAAAGGACUGGACCAUGAGUGAGGGCACAAACACAGCUAGGAUAUAUCCAAAUGGCAAGUUGCUCCUCCUUUCGGUUUUGCCGAGAGAGCGAUGUGUUUGAGUCAUUGAGCGAUGGGCAGGAAAAACUUGACUUUUUCUCCUGCCAUGGGGGGGCGCUCUUUUAGGGAGUAAAAAUUCCUUCACAAAUGUGUUGAUGGCUAGACAUUGCAUCAUCCUAAAAAACUUGGAGGCCAGUAUGGAAAAAAAUAAAAAGUUAUAAGACUUUUAAGAAUGUGGAUUUUUGGGUUAUAUUUGGUGCCCCCUAGAACCCAAACCGUGGGGUGCAGCAAGAUGAUUUGUACAACUUUUAAUGGCCAUGGGGUGUAGAUUGGCCUGAGCAAAUUUGGUGCCGGUGGAAAGAUAGCCUUCGGAGGAGUUAGCGAAAUUCCAAUGUGUGCGGAUCGGCAAAAAAUGCAAAAUAGCCCUUUAACCGUACAUGUCAGAUACAUGCCCUUUGACUUUUUUGUAGAUCUUAUUGAGAUACACGUGAUUGUCAAAUUUUGUGUCAAUAUGACAAAGCGUUCAGGCGUGACACUCUACAAUGUGUAUUUUCAUGUUAGGGGACAAGAAAAAAUGGACCUUUUUCUCCUGCCAUUGGGGGGCGCUCUUUUGGGGAGUAAAAAUUCCUUCACAAAUGUGUUGAUGGCUGGACAUUGCAUCAUCCUAGAAAACUUGAAGGCCAGUGAGGACAAAAGUAAAAAGUUAUAAGACUUUUAAGAAUGUGGAUUUUUGGGUUAUCUUUGGCGCCCCCUAGAACCUAAACCGUGGGGUGCAGCGUCAUGAUUUGUACAACUUUUAAUGGCCAUGGGGUGUAGAUUGGCCUGAGCAAAUGUGGUGCCGGUGGAACGAAAGCCUUCGGAGGAGUUAGCGAAAUUCCAAUGUGUGCGGAUCGGCAAAAAAUGCGAAAUAACCCUUUAACCGUACAUGUGAUAGAUACGCCCGCACUGAUUUUUUUGUAGAUCUUAUUGAGAUACAUAUGUGUGUCAAAUUUUGUGUCAAUAUGACAAAGCGUACAGGCGUGACAGUCAAUAGUGUGAAUUUUCACCUUAGGGGGCGCUAUGGAGCCAUUUUGCAUUUUAUUGUUUGGGCGACUUCAGAAUAUCGAAUUUUUCACCAGGCCCGGUCGUCCUGCCAAAUUUCAUGAGUUUUCGCCAGUGGGAAGUGGGCCAUUUUCCCCUUCAAAGGGGAGGAAAAAUAAGAAGAAAGAAAGAAAGAAAGAAGAAAGAAAAACCUAUACAGGAAUAAUAGGGCUCUACGCCCGGCUGCUCUGCAGCUGGCUCGGGCCCUAACUAGGGCCCCGGUGGGGCACUGUCGGGCCCGAGCCGCGUCGCACCGCCCCCAGCGCGACCGCCUCCCCCUCCCGAUCGCGUCACACUCAAGGUCCAAAGAUGGUGUGCGCACUUGUCUGUGGUCAUUUCCCAUUAUAAUAAAUGGGAGGCGCAGUUUCUACCAAAACACUCGCUGCAGACAAACUACAUGUCCUAUUUGAAAAAAGUCUGGACCAUGAGUGAGGGCACAAACACAGCUAGGAUAUAUCCAAAUGGCAAGUUGCUCCUCCUUACGGUGUUGCCGGGAGAGCGAUGCGAUUGAGCCAUUGACCGAUGGGCAGGGUUAACUUGACUUUUUCUCCUGCCUUGGGGGAUGUGGAUUCUUUUAAGAAUAUGGAUAUUUGGGUCAUCUUUGGCGCCCCCUAGAACGUAAACCGUGGGGUGCAGCGUCAUGAUUUUUACAACUUUGAAUGGCCAUGGGGUGUAGAUUGGCCUGAGCAAAUUUGGUGUCAGUGGGACGAAAGCUGUAGGACGAGUUAGCCACAUUCCAAUGUGUGCGAAUCAGCAAAAAAUGCAAAAUAGCCCUUUAACCGUACAUUUUACAGAUACGUGCCCAUUGACUUUUUCGUAGAUCUUAUUGAGAUACAUGUGUGUGUCAAUUUUUGUGUCAAUAUGACAAAGCGUACAGGCGUGACAGUCAACAAUGUGUAUUUUCACCUUAGGGGACAAGAAAAAAUGGACUUUUUUCUCCUGCCAUGUGGGGGCGCUCUUUUGGGGAGUAAAAAUUCCUUCACAAAUGUGUUGAUGGCUGGACAUUGCAUCAUCCUAGAGAACUUGGAGGCCAGUGAGGAAAAUAAUAAAAAGUUAUAAGACUUUUAAGAAUGUGGAUUUUUUGGUUAUCUUUGGCGCCCCCUAGAACCUAAACCGUGGGGUGCAGCGUCAUGAUUUGUACAACUUUCGAUGGCCAUGGGGUGUAGAUUGGCCUGAGCAAAUGUGGUGCCGGUGGAACGAAAGCCUUCGGAGGAGUUAGCGAAAUUUCAAUGUGUGCGGAUCGGCAAAAAAUGCGAAAUAACCCUUUAACCGUACAUUUGACAGAUACGCGCGCACUGACUUUUUUGUAGAUCUUAUUGAGAUACAUGUGUGUGUCAAUUUUUGUGUCAAUAUGACAAAGCGUACAGGCGUGACAGUCAACAGUGUGAAUUUCCACCUUAGGGGGCGCUAUGGAGCCAUUUUGCAUUUUAUUGUUUGGGCGACUUCAGAAUAUCGAAUUUUUCACCAGGCCCGGUCCUCCUGCCAAAUUUCAUGAGUUUUCGCCAGUGGGAAGUGGGCCAUUUUCCAGUUUAAAGCGGAGGAAAAAUAAUAACUAGGGCCCCGUUGGGGCACUGGCGGGCCCGAGCCGCGGUGCGCCGCCCCCAACACGACCGCCUCUCCCUACCGAUCGCGUCACACUCAAGGUCCAAAGAUGGUGUGCGCACUUGUCUGUGGUCAUUUACAAUUAUAAUGAAUGGGAGGCGCAGUUUCUACCAAAACGCUCGCCGCAGACAAACUACAUGUCCUAUUUGAAAAGGACUGGACCAUGAGUGAGGGCACAAACACAGCUAGGAUAUAUCCAAAUGGCAAGUUGCUCCUCCUUUCGGUUUUGCCGAGAGAGCGAUGUGUUUGAGUCAUUGAGCGAUGGGCAGGAAAAACUUGACUUUUUCUCCUGCCAUGGGGGGGCGCUCUUUUAGGGAGUAAAAAUUCCUUCACAAAUGUGUUGAUGGCUAGACAUUGCAUCAUCCUAAAAAACUUGGAGGCCAGUAUGGAAAAAAAUAAAAAGUUAUAAGACUUUUAAGAAUGUGGAUUUUUGGGUUAUAUUUGGUGCCCCCUAGAACCCAAACCGUGGGGUGCAGCAAGAUGAUUUGUACAACUUUUAAUGGCCAUGGGGUGUAGAUUGGCCUGAGCAAAUUUGGUGCCGGUGGAAAGAUAGCCUUCGGAGGAGUUAGCGAAAUUCCAAUGUGUGCGGAUCGGCAAAAAAUGCAAAAUAGCCCUUUAACCGUACAUGUCAGAUACAUGCCCUUUGACUUUUUUGUAGAUCUUAUUGAGAUACACGUGAUUGUCAAAUUUUGUGUCAAUAUGACAAAGCGUUCAGGCGUGACACUCUACAAUGUGUAUUUUCAUGUUAGGGGACAAGAAAAAAUGGACCUUUUUCUCCUGCCAUUGGGGGGCGCUCUUUUGGGGAGUAAAAAUUCCUUCACAAAUGUGUUGAUGGCUGGACAUUGCAUCAUCCUAGAAAACUUGAAGGCCAGUGAGGACAAAAGUAAAAAGUUAUAAGACUUUUAAGAAUGUGGAUUUUUGGGUUAUCUUUGGCGCCCCCUAGAACCUAAACCGUGGGGUGCAGCGUCAUGAUUUGUACAACUUUUAAUGGCCAUGGGGUGUAGAUUGGCCUGAGCAAAUGUGGUGCCGGUGGAACGAAAGCCUUCGGAGGAGUUAGCGAAAUUCCAAUGUGUGCGGAUCGGCAAAAAAUGCGAAAUAACCCUUUAACCGUACAUGUGAUAGAUACGCCCGCACUGAUUUUUUUGUAGAUCUUAUUGAGAUACAUAUGUGUGUCAAAUUUUGUGUCAAUAUGACAAAGCGUACAGGCGUGACAGUCAAUAGUGUGAAUUUUCACCUUAGGGGGCGCUAUGGAGCCAUUUUGCAUUUUAUUGUUUGGGCGACUUCAGAAUAUCGAAUUUUUCACCAGGCCCGGUCGUCCUGCCAAAUUUCAUGAGUUUUCGCCAGUGGGAAGUGGGCCAUUUUCCCCUUCAAAGGGGAGGAAAAAUAAGAAGAAAGAAAGAAAGAAAGAAGAAAGAAAAACCUAUACAGGAAUAAUAGGGCUCUACGCCCGGCUGCUCUGCAGCUGGCUCGGGCCCUAAUAAUAAUAACAAAAGAAGAAUCCAUCAGGAACAAGAGGGCUCUCGCAGCUGCUUAGCAGCUACGCUCGGGCCCUAACUAGGACCCCGUUGGGGCACUGGCGGGCCCGAGCCGUGUCGCGUCCCCCCCCCCAACGUGCUGCCUUCCCGUCCCAUUUGUGUCCUCUGGCCAUCGCCCCCUCUGGUAACGCCCAUCACUGCAAAGACCCUUUUCCUUCAUCGGCGUUUGCUGUUCUUCCUGCCAGUGCGUGUUGCUUUCACUUACACUUGCCACAGCCAGCCUCGUGAGUGCCUAGCCUAUUGGAUAUCACUGUCACCUACACAGGACAGUCAUUACCUUUCUAUUAAUACUUUGUGUUUUAAUUUCACAUUAAUUUCCAUAUUGUAUAAACGACUGGAAAAAACUUGAGCCCCUGCCCCUGUAUAAUCAUGUGCAUGUCUCUGUUCUAGCUCCAAGGUGAAUCUUCACUGCUCAUGUUCUCCUCAGAAGCACUCACCUCACUCCCCUCAGGUUACUGUACACAUGCACCAACUGCCUGCUUCAGGUUUGGAUGGAGCUUCAUGGUUGUCUUUUGGAGAAAUGAGCAGUCAAGUUGUGUUUGAAAUUUGAUUUUUUUCAGGGGCAAAAGGAGCCUCUGCAUUCUUGUCAAAUAUGUAAAUAGCAUGUUUUUGCAGGUGCUAAAAACCAGACUCUGAGUGUGUGUGUGUGUGUGUGUGUGUGUGUGUGUGUGUGCGUGUGUGUGUGUCUGUGUGUGCGUUCAAGUCACAUGACAUAUUUAACCGGAUGUAGCUGCAAGACGGAGCCUCGUUGACUCUCCGUUUCAACUUAUCUCAAAAGUGAGGACCUCAACCUAUAUACCAGUUUUUAAAUUGUGUUGAUAGGCCAAAUAAAACCAGAGUUAUGAUAAAUUAUGUCCGCGAUACUUUUUUUCUGCUUAUUUUGAUCACGUUCGGCGCUCGAUCGCGCUGUAUGAGACAGGAAAACAUAGCAUGCAGACAUUAGCGACAGGUCUUACAGGCGGAAAAGGCUUGCCAAAAGAAAAAAAAAACACACCACAACAUCUCUCCUAUUGGUGGAAAACUUCACCACAACAACCAAUCCAAAAUUAUAUGGUGACUGAUUGACAAGGGGAGGGCGCUUACGUUCUUCCUGCAACAUGAGAAGCGAGGGAGGGACUCUCAGCAGGGAUGCAGUCUGGGACACGUAGUUGCAAACCUAGCGACUUUGUUGUUAGAUUCAAUGACUUUUCAGACCCCCUAACGACUUUUUUUUUAGAAAGAAAGGGACUUUUAUCGACUUCUUCUGGAGUUUAGAGACUCUGACAUGAAGCAGGCUUUCCUUACUGAGGAGUUAGCAACGCUGCUAAGGGUGCAGAGCCACACAUGCGCUCCGAGCUCUGCAUGGGAGACUGAAGCUGACAGAGCUGCAGCAGUUAGCAGGUUUCACCCUCAGAGACCACCAGGGGUUCAUGUUGAGGCAUUUUAUUUUAUUUUUUUUUUUUUGUGCCAUAGACACUGUCAGCACAAUCUGCAGUUACACUAACAAAAAUGCUGCAAAAAACAAAGAAUUAUGGAAAAAUUACACAUGGACUGACAUAGAGGAGGAUCUACACAAGUUUUUUACAUCAUGUUUUACAUCAUGCAUCAUUUACAUCAUGUUUUUUGUAGUGGCAUAAAUAAAAAGUGACAUUUGUGAGACUAUACAGUGUUUUGUAAAUAAUUUUACAAAGAACGCCUGGGCCAUUGCCUGCAUUUUGAUGUAAAUAGAGGUAAAUCACUAUGUUCUUUGUUAAAAAUUUGCAUAUGUUUUGAAGUUUACAAUUUUUAUUUGAAGUUUAAGUUUUAAAAACAGUUCAUCACACAUAUUUGUGGUUUUCACAGUAAAAAUUUUACUUUUUUCCACUCGGAUUUUAUGUUUUGUGUGUGAAUUUGGGUCCAUUGUGUAAAUUCAGUAUGUCAACAUGAUAAAAUAACUGUAAAUUCGCACAGGUGAGGUUGUGCUGAAAAAAAUGAUACCAGGCAAGGCACGUGAUUGUCAAAUUUUGUGUCAAUAUGACAAAGCGUAUAGGCGUGAAUCUCAACAAUAUCUAUUUUCACCUUAGGGGACAAGAAAAAAUGGACUUUUUUCUCCUGCCAUGGGGGGGCGCUCUUUUGGGGAGUAAAAAUUCCUUCACAAAUGUGUUGAUGGCUGGACAUUGCAUCAUCCUAGAAAACUUGGAGGCCAGUGAGGACAAAAAUAAAAAGUUAUAAGACUUUUAAAUAUGUGGAUUUUAAGGUUAUCUUUGGCGCCCCCUAGAACCUAAACCGUGGGGUGCAGCGUCAUGAUUUGAAUAACUUUUAAUGGCCAUGGGGUGUAGAUUGGCCUGAGCAAAUGUGGUGCCGGUGGAACGAAAGCCUUAGGAGGAGUUAGCCACAUUCCAAUGUGUGCGGAUCGGCAAAAAAUGCGGAAUAACCCUUUAACCGUACAUUUGACAGAUACGCGCGCAUUGACUUUUUCGUAGAUCUUAUUGAGUUACAUGUGUGUGUCAAUUUUUGUGUCAUUUUGACAAAGCGUAUAGGCGUGACACUCAACAAUGUGUAUUUUCACCUUAGGGGACAAGAAAAAAUGGACUUUUUUCUUCUGCCAUGGGGGGGCGCUCUUUUGGGGAGUAAAAAUUCCUUCACAAAUGUGUUGAUGGCUGGACAUUGCAUCAUCCUAGAAAACUUGGAGGCCAGUGAGGACAAAAAUAAAAAGUUAUAAGACUUUUAAAAAUGUGGAUUUUUGGGUUAUCUUUGGCGCCCCCUAGAACGUAAACCAUGGGGUGCAGCGUCAUGAUUUGAAUAACUUUUAAUGGCCAUGGGGUGUAGAUUGGCCUGAGCAAAUUUGGUGCCGGUGGAACGAAAGCCUUCGGAGGAGUUAGCGAAAUUCCAAUGUGUGCGAAUCGGCAAAAAAUGCGGAAUAACCCUUUAACCGUACAUUUGACAGAUACGCGCGCAUGGACUUUUUUGUAGAUCUUAUUGAGAUACAUGUGUGUGUCAAUUUUUGUGUCAUUUUGACAAAGCGUACAGGCGUGACAGUCAAUAGUGUGAAUUUUCACCUUAUGGGACAAGAAAAAAUGAACUUUUUUCUCCUGCCAUGGGGGGGCGCUCUUUUGGGGAGUAAAAAUUCCUUCACAAAUGUGUUGAUGGCUGGACAUUGCAUCAUCCUAGAAAACUUGGAGGCCAGUGAGGGCAAAAAUAAAAAGUUAUAAGACUUUGAAAUAUGUGGAUUUUAGGGUUAUCUUUGGCGCCCCCUAGAACCUAAACCGUGGGGUGCAGCGUCAUGAUUUGAAUAACUUUUAAUGGCCAUGGGGUGUAGAUUGGCCUGAGCAAAUGUGGUGCCGGUGGAACGAAAGCCUUCGGAGGAGUUAGCGAAAUUCCAAUGUGUGCGGAUCGGCAAAAAAUGCGCAAUAACCCUUUAACCGUACAUUUGACAGAUACGCCCGCACUGACUUUUUUGUAGAUCUUAUUGAGAUACAUGUGUGUGUCAAUUUUUGUGUCAUUUUGACAAAGCGUACAGGCGUCAGGUGAAUUUUUCACCUUAGGGGGCGCUAUGGAGCCAUUUUGCAUUGUAUUGUUUGGGCGACUUCAGAAUAUCAAAUUUUUCACCAGGCCCGGUCGUCCUGCCAAAUUUCAUGAGUUUUCGCCAGUGGGAAGUGGGCCAUUUUCCAGUUCAAAGGGGAGGAAAAAGAAACUAGGACCCCGUUGGGGCACUUGCGGGCCCGAGCUGUGUCGCGUCCCCCCCCCAACGCGCUGCCUCCCCGUCCCAUUCGCGUCCUCUGGCCAUCGCCCUCUCUGGUAACGCCCAUCACUGCAAAGACCCUUUUCCUUCAUCGGCGUUUGCUGUUCUUCCUGCCAGUGCGUGUUGCUUUCACUUACACUUGCCACAGCCAGCCUCGUGAGUGCCUAGCCUAUUGGAUAUCACUGUCACCUACACAGGACAGUCAUUACCUUUCUAUUAAUACUUUGUUUUUUAAUUUCACAUUAAUUUCCAUAUUGUAUAAACAACUGGAAAAAACUUGAGCCCCUGCCCCUGUAUAAUCAUGUGCACGUCUCUGUUCUAGCUCUAAGGUGAAUCUUCACUGCUCAUGUUCUCCUCAGAAGCAGUCACCUCACUCCCCUCAGGUUACUGUACACAUGCACCAACUGCCUGCUUCAGGUUUGGAUGGAGCUUCAUGGUUGUCUUUUGGAGAAAUGACCAGUCAAGUUGUGUUUGAAAUUUGAUUUUUUUCAGGGGCAAAAGGAGCCUCUGCAUUCUUGUCAAAUAUGUAAAUAGCAUGUUUUUGCAGGUGCUAAAAACCAGACUCUGAGUGUGUGUGUGUGUGUGUGUGUGUGUGUCUGUGUGUGUGUGUGUGUGUGUGUGUGCGUUCAAGUCACAUGACAUAUUUAACCGGAUGUAGCUGCAAGACGGAGCCUCGUUGACUCUCCGUUUCAACUUAUCUCAAAAGUGAGGACCUCAACCUAUAUACCAGUUUUUAAAUUGUGUUGAUAGGCCAAAUAAAACCAGAGUUAUGAUAAAUUAUGUCCGCGAUACUUGUUUUCUGCUUAUUUUGAUCACGGUCGGCGCUCGAUCGCGCUGUAUGAGACAGGAAAACAUAGCAUGCAGACAUUAGCGACAGGUCUUACAGGCGGAAAAAGCUUGCCAAAGGAAAAAAAAAACACACCACAACAUCUCUCCUAUUGGUGGAAAACUUCACCACAACAACCAAUCCAAAAUUAUAUGGUGACUGAUUGACAAGGGGCGGGAACUUACGUUCUUCCUGCAAUAUGAGAAGGGAGGGAGGGACUCUCAGCAGGGAUGCAGUCUGGGACACGUAGUUGCAAACCUAGCGACUUUGUUGUUAGAUUCAAUGACUUUUCAGACCCCCUAACGACUUUUUUUUAGAAAGAAAGUGACUUUUAUCGACUUCUUCUGGAGUUUAGAGACUCUGACAUGAAGCAGGCUUUCCUUACUGAGGAGUUAGCAACGCUGCUAAGGGUGCAGAGCCACACAUGCGCUCUGAGCUCUGCAUGGGAGACUGAAGCUGACAGAGCUGCAGCAGUUAGCAGGUUUCACCCUCAGAGACCACCAGGGGUUCAUGUUGAGGCAUUUUCAGUUUUUUUUUUUUUUUUUUUUGCCAUAGACACUGUCAGCACAAUCUGCAGUUAGACUAACAAAAAUGCUGCAAAAAACAAAGAAUUAUGGAGAAAUUACACAUGGACUAACAUAGAGGAGGAUCUACACAAGUUUUUUACAUCAUGUUUUACAUCAUGCAUCAUUUACAUCAUGUUUUUUUGUAGUGGCAUAAAUAAAAAGUGACAUUUGUGAGACUAUACAGUGUUUUGUAAAUAAUUUUACAAAGAACACCUGGGCCAUUGCCUGCAUUUUGAUGUAAAUAGAGGUAAAUUACUAUGUUCUUUGUUAAAAAUUUGCAUAUGUUUUGAAGUUUACAAUUUUUAUUUGAAGUUUAAGUUUUAAAAACAGUUCAUCACACAUAUUUGUGGUUUUCACAGUAAAAACGUUACUUUUUUCCACUCGGAUUUUAUGUUUUGUGUGUGAAUUUGGGUCCAAUGUGUAAAUAUAGUAUGUCAAAAUGAUAAAAUAACUGUAAAUGGACACAGGUGAGGUUGUGCUGAAAAAAAUGAUACCAGGCAAGGCAAGGUAAAAAUUUUGUAAGAGGAAAUAUAAAGGUAAAAUCUAAAGUAGUCAAAAACGGCCAAUAGUGACUCACAGACUCCACAGACAAGUCCCUUUGGCGCCACUCAGUGGGCAAAACUACUUUGUCUACUGUAAUGUAUAUUUGGGUCAUCUUUGGCGCCCCCUAAAACGUAAACCGUGGGGUGCAGCGUCAUGAUUUUUACAACUUUGAAUGGCCAUGGAGUGUAGAUUGGCCUGAGCAAAUUUGGUGUCAGUGGGACGAAAGCCUUAGGAGGAGUUAGCGAAAUUCCAAUGUGUGCGAAUCGGCAAAAAAUGCAAAAUAGCCCUUUUACCGUACAUUAUACAGAUAGGCGCUCUUUGACUUUUUCGUAGAUCUAAUUGAGAUACACAUGAUUGUCAAUUUUUGUGUCAUUUUGCCAAAGCGUACAGGCGUGACAGUCAACAAUGUGUAUUUUCACCUUAGGGGACAAGAAAAAAUGGACUUUUUUCUCCUGCCUUGUGGUGUAGCUCUUUUAGGGAGUAAAAAUUCCUUCACAAAUGUGUUGAUGGCUGGACAUUGCAUCAUCCUAGAAAACUUGGAGGCCAGUGAGGACAAAAAUAAAAAGUUAUAAGACUUUUAAAAAUGUGGAUUUUUGGGUUAUCUUUGGCGCCCCCUAGAACGUAAACCGUGGGGUGCAGCGUCAUGAUUUGAAUAACUUUUAAUGGCCAUGGGGUGUAAUUUGGCCUGAGCAAAUGUGGUGCCGGUGGAACGAAAGCCUUCGGAGGAGUUAGCGAAAUUCCAAUGUGUGCGGAUCGGCAAAAAAUGCGGAAUAACCCUUUAACCGUACAUUUGACAGAUACGCGCGCAUUGACUUUUUCGUAGAUCUUAUUGAGUUACAUGUGUGUGUCAAUUUUUGUGUCAUUUUGACAAAGCGUAUAGGCGUGACACUCAACAAUGUGUAUUUUCACCUUAGGGGACAAGAAAAAAUGGACUUUUUUCUCCUGCCAUGGGGGGGCGCUCUUUUGGGGAGUAAAAAUUCCUUCACAAAUGUGUUGAUGGCUGGACAUUGCAUCAUCCUAGAAAACUUGGAGGCCAGUGAGGACAAAAAUAAAAAGUUAUAAGACUUUUAAAUAUGUGGAUUUUACUGUUAUCUUUGGCGCCCCCUAGAACGUAAACCUUGGGGUGCAGCGUCAUGAUUUUGAUAACUUUUAAUGGCCACGGGGUGUAGAUUGGCCUUAGCAAAUGUGGUGCCGGUGGAACGAAAGCCUUCGGAGGAGUUAGCGAAAUUCCAAUGUGUGCGGAUCGGCAAAAAAUGCGAAAUAACCCUUUAACCGUACAUUUGACAGAUACGGCCGCACUGACUUUUUUGUAGAUCUUAUUGAGAUACAUAUGUGUGUCAAUUUUUGUGUCAAUAUGACAAAGCGUAAAGGCGUGACAGUCAAUAGUGUGAAUUUCCACCUUAGGGGGCGCUAUGGAGCCAUUUUGCAUUUUAUUGUUUGGGCGACUUCAGAAUAUCGAAUUUUUCACCAGGCCCGGUCGUCCUGCCAAAUUUCCUGAGUUUUCGCCAGUGGGAAGUGGGCCAUUUUCCAGUUCAAAGGGGAGGAAAAAGAAGAAAGAAAGAAAGAAAGAAACAAAGAAAAACCCCUUGGGGAAUAAUAGGGCUCUCGCAGCUGCUUAGCAGCUACGCUCGGGCCCUAAACUAGGGCCCCGUUGGGGCACUGGCGGGCCCGAGCCGUGUCGCGCCGCCCCCAACACGACCGCC